rnacentral:rRNA from 1 species
GACGAACGCUGGCGGCGUGCCUAAUACAUGCAAGUGGGACGCAAGAGAACACACUGUGCUUGCACACCGUGUUUUCUUGAGUCGCGAACGGGUGAGUAACGCGUAGGUAACCUGCCUAUUAGCGGGGGAUAACUAUUGGAAACGAUAGCUAAUACCGCAUAAUAUUAAUUAUUGCAUGAUAAUUGAUUGAAAGAUGCAAGCGCAUCACUAGUAGAUGGACCUGCGUUGUAUUAGCUAGUUGGUAAGGUAAGAGCUUACCAAGGCGACGAUACAUAGCCGACCUGGGAGGGUGAUCGGCCACACUGGGACUGAGACACGGCCCAGACUCCUACGGGAGGCAGCAGUAGGGAAUCUUCGGCAAUGGACGAAAGUCUGACCGAGCAACGCCGCGUGAGUGAGGAAGGUUUUCGGAUCGUAAAGCUCUGUUGUAAGUCAAGAACGUGUGUGAGAGUGGAAAGUUCACACAGUGACG